UGGGAGGGUGAUACCCAGGCAGGUCUUAGCAUCGUCCUGCCUGUCACAAACCCUCCCUACAUUAUCCCUGCCUUCCGAUGACCGGGGCGAAAUGAGGGAAAUCGCAACGGACAGAUACGAGGCAGACAUCU